rnacentral:rRNA from 1 species
UUCCGGUUGAUCCUGCCGGACCCUACUGCUAUCGGGGUGGGACUAAGACAUGCGUGUCGAACGCGCCGGUCGUGGCAUACGGCUCAGUAACACGUGGCUAACCUACCCUCGAGACAGGGACAACCCCGGGAAACUGGGGCUAAUCCCAGAUAGAUGAGAACCCCUGGAAUGGGUUUUCGUCCAAAGCUCUGCCGCUCAAGGAUGGGGCCGCGUCCGAUCAGGCUGUUGGUGAGGCAAUGGCUCACCAAACCUAUAACCGGUACGGGCCGUGGGAGCGGGAGCCCGGAGAUGGGAACUGAGACAAGGUCCCAGGCCCUACGGGGCGCAGCAGUUACGAAAACUUGUCAAUGCACGAAAGUGUGACAGGGCUAUCCCGAGUGCCGUCCGCUGAGGAUGGCUUUUACCCAGUCUAGAACGCUGGGGGAAUAAGGAGAGGGCAAGUCUGGUGUCAGCCGCCGCGGUAAUACCAGCUCUCCGAGUGGUAGGGAUGAUUAUUGGGCCUAAAGCGUCCGUAGCCGGCCUUUCAAGUCUCUUGUUAAAUCCAACGAUUCAAUCGUUGGGCCGCAAAAGAUACUGUUAUGCUAGAGGACGGGAGAGGUCGACGGUAGUCCAGGGGUAGGGGUGAAAUCCUAUAAUCCUUGGAGGACCACCAGUGGCGAAGGCGGUCGACUAGAACGCGCUCGACGGUGAGGGACGAAAGCUGGGGGAGCGAACCGGAUUAGAUACCCGGGUAGUCCCAGCUGUAAACGAUGCGGGCUAGGUGUUGGAAUGGCUACGUGCCAUUUCAGUGCCGCAGGGAAGCCAUUAAGCCCGCCGCCUGGGGAGUACGGCCGCAAGGCUGAAACUUAAAGGAAUUGGCGGGGGAGCACCACAAGGCGUGAAGCUUGCGGUUUAAUUGGAUUCAACGCCGGA